CUAGAUACCCCAUUCAACCCCAUUCUUCCCUGAUCUAUAUGUACCUCUGUUUGGUGUUUUAGGCACUGAGCUGCAGGCAAAACAUGUGAGAAACCAAUGCGUGGCAUUUAUAAUUUAUCCCCUUCCUCUAUUCCUUGAUGUGGGCAGAGCUUUCCAAUGGGUUUGUUUUCUUGUAUAUCAAUCAGAUUCACAUAGCUUGGAUAUGCAGCUGCUUGCAUAUACAACAAGGAAUAUUAUCAGGGAAGCUCUUGUGGCCAAAGGUAUGAUUCUAUUUAGGUGGUUCGAGCACCACCGAGUGUGAUUACUUCUCAACUUCCUAUGCCCAUGUAAUGUGACUUAAGCAUCUACAAGUAAUUUAUUUGUUUCCAUUAUUAUAUAUUUGAUUACAUGUCUGUUGGGCAUUUGGCUUUUUGAUUGCUUGUAGAACCAAUUGAGACAUCGAUGGAUAAUUUCAAGGAUUAUAUUAAGGUAUACACCUGACUCGGUGAACAUUUCUUACAUUCAUUCUGAAUUCUCUUGUUUUAUGAUGGGGGUUUUAUAUGUAGUUUUGUGAUUACAUUCCGCAAACAUGUAUUGGUUGCCAAUAUCAUUAGCUCUCCACACAAACAACUAACAUUAGUAGUACACUUCUAUGAAAUAACACCAACGAUGCAUUUUGGUUUGUCAUAACAAGUGCUAGCUGCUAGCUGGUUCCAAUGGAUGAUAAUUUAAUUGUAAACUCAAAUAUCAACCUGAUCGACCAGCAUGGUCCUCAUGACAUUAUUUUUUAUCACCUUUUACUAACGCUCUAAAGAUUUUUUUACUAAAGGAGGAAAAGUACAUAUUGUACUAUGGCAAGUUCACACUCCUUGAAGCACCCAUUUCUACAUCAUCGUCUUGCAUGCAUGAUGCCCUGAUUUGCUUAUAACUUUUAGGCAUUUAGGAACUAAGGAAUUUCCUAAUUGACAUAAUCUACAUUGCGUGUGCAAUGCAAAAAUAUCAUGUCCCCAAAAAUCUCACAAGUUUGCGGGUAUGCCAUUUCUGAUCAACAAUUAUGCUCUCCCACUUCUCUCAUGCUCUUCUCUUCUUAUCUACAAUAUAUGAUGUUACUGUUGAUAUUUUGUGUCAUUAAUUGAAUUUUUACCGAUGGACAUAUGCAGGAAGAUUGAAGUGAAAAGAAUUGAUGCAUGUCUCUUGGCCAUGAAGAGAAAUAUUAUGAGUCCUGCACCGGAGGAGCCAAAGUCUCCGAGGCAACCAUGAUAGAAGUUGAUCCGGAGGUGAUGCUUGCUGUGAAGGUUAGUUUGGCUCUUUCUUUAACUUUAUCUUGGAAAUUGCAAAAAUAUUGUGGUCAUGUUUUUUCUGACUUCGUCCAAUUUGAAAGCAACACAUAAGUUAUAGUCUUGCCUAUAUUGUUAUGCUAAGAUGGCUACAUGCAGCCAUGACCUCUUUUGGUGUCAUACAUAUUUGCACAAACCUACUAUCGCAGUAUUGAACUUUAAGGCCUCAGAGCGUAUACAUGACCUUUGGUUUUGGUGACUUAUCUUACAGCUACAAUAGACAAAUUUUCACUACUAUAUGUUUCGUUGUAUGAUCAUCCCAAGAAGUAACGAUUUUGAGUGCUAAUCCAGAAGCUUAAUUUUGUUGGUAUCCUUAAAUUCCAAACCUGUAUUCUAUUAAACUUCCAUGUUUCAUACUGCACAUUUAUAGAAAUUCCUAUGAUCCAACCGGAAAAGUAGACGGACAUGGCAAUGUUGCGGUGUUUCUCUCAUCUGCUAUUUGGCCUGCAAGGUUACUAUGUUCGUCUCAAAUAAGCAAGCAAGUUUAUAAUCUUUAUUUUAGCUUAUAAGAUGUCCUCAUGCCAGUUUUCUGUUGAUUCAUACAAUGGUUGAUUCAGACCUCAUCUGAUACAAGAGAGCUGAUGCCAAGGAGAGUUAAUAAACCAACUAACAACAUAAACAUUUGCGUACAACCCUCAGUAUAAAUGUGAAUUAUGAUUUCUGUCAACUAACAAAUGGUUCAAGAUAAAGAGAUCAGGUUUUAUGGUUUGAAAUAUACAAAAAUAUUGAUUACAAAUUUGCAAUUGAAUAAUCAUGUUUGGUAUUACUUCUAUCUGGAGAUUAGUCUGAUAUCAUUGAUCAUAGGUAUAUACAUACACGAUUCUUAUUGUAAAGCAGUGUACGAUGAAGACUUAGAUUCGACAAUUAUGUGAUCUGUCAUGUAGUGUGCUAUGCAAAACACAUAGCUUUGGACCCAACUUCUUUGGUUGAAUUAAUCCUCACAAUGGCGUUUCCACUUUGAUUUAUAAUUCUUGUGUUUCCUCCAUAUUCAUGUUUUAGGUUACUGCUUAAUGAAGGAUAGCUCUUGCUCCUAUGUUCAUAACCCAGUGGUGGCUAUAAAUCAAAGCGAGCUGCAGACGGACACACACAAUUGUAAGAAAGUAAAAUAGUACUGCCAGUCAAUAGAGUGCCUGCUUAGUAUCUUUCUGCCGUGGUUUACUACUUACUACCGAUUGGAGAAUCUCUUAUUCAAAAUGCAAAGGAAACAUGCAUUAAAUAAUUUAUUUCAGUAUAUUUUAUCUUUCUCUAUAAUUUAUCAUGGGCGUCGGUGUCUUUCACGGAGUGAGGUACCGCUGAAGAACAACCGGACCGGAUUGGUGGUCGACGACAGAGGCAUGGCCCAAUGAUAUGCCUAGGUGUAAUCCCUUGUAGAAUUUUAUUACAGGCCAUAAUGCAUUGAUUUCUUUAGAUAAUAAAUGUUCUAAAAAAUCUGAAAUAUUUGUACCACCUAUAUUUAUUUUUAUUUUCUCAUAUAUUUCUAAUAUCUUUCCUCGAUAUUUUUAUUUGUAAAUGUCUUGACAUAAGCCUUUCUGGGAGAGCUCUU
rnacentral:lncRNA from 1 species